UUUGGAUUACUUUUCUUUACUAAACCUUCAUGACAAAGUAUGUAUGGUAAAACUUCAUUACUGUUAUUUAAUACAUACAAAUAAGCUUGUUGCAAAUCUUCUAUACUUGGAGUGAUAACAUACAGUCCUCUUGAACCCUUACCUCCCACUCUUUCGUCAUGUCGAGACUCGGGAAGCCCAACAGAUUUUGUCUUUUCAAUGUACUCUGAAUAAAAUUCAAUAACUUCUUCUGUAAUGUACCUUUCCACAAUAGAUGCU
rnacentral:lncRNA from 1 species